CGCCCCUCGGGCCGGGUGUCCAAAGUGAGGUGUGCUGGAGGCCGUGCCCGGGGUCGGGUGUCCCGACCUUUUUGCUAGUAUGGUGUUUCUAAUUUGUUCUUAAGAAUAAUGUAUAGGUACUUGUGGAUCCCCCACUCGGGUCUGGCUUUAGUGAAGCCUCCAGGGAGGGAACCACGCUUGGAAGUCUUUACAGUUGUGUGUUUACAGUUGAAGUUCAGAACACUACUCCAAAAUACGUCGCUUGAAAACGGCAAAUGCAAGAAAAACACUCUGUCCUUUUUCUUAAAAGCAUGAGAUGAGAUUCCCAUGUGAAAGAAGCCCUUCCUAUGAUAAGGAAAAUUCUCAACACAGACGUCAAGGGCUCAGGCCUUGGGAGAUGACCCCCCUCUGGGCCCGCCGGUGUAAAAUAAACCUCAGCACCCCAAGACCUCCGAGUGCCGCUUGGUUCUUCCGUCAGUGAUCCAGUCCGGGUUUUCCAGUAUUUUCUGUAACACCUACACUGGAGAGAAAGUAACAUUCUUAGAAAGGAGAAGACCAGAGAAUUCCGUACAGAUUUUGGUUAAAAUGUCUUAACCUCCCUAAAUAGCUUACUUUUCAACAAUCGUUAUUCUUUGUCCAACCUUCUUGAAAAGCAUCUAAAUUUUGCCAUUUCUUCGGGUCUUCAUUCCUUAUGAAGUGUACCAUGUCACACUAAUGUAUUAAUUACAUUUGUAAGUACAAUAAUUGCAUGUAUUAAUACAUUUGUAUGCUUUUCUUCAGUUGAUCUGACUUAUGUCAAUUUAAUUCUCAGGCUCAGCUGGAAAAAACCCUAAAAGGGUACUGGGAGAGAAUAAAUUUCUUUUGAUUAAGCCAUAA